GUCAGAGGCGAUGAAGGACGUGCUAAUCUGCGAUAAGCGUCGGUAAGGUGAUAUGAACCGUUAUAACCGGCGAUUUCCGAAUGGGGAAACCCAGUGUGUUUCGACACACUAUCAUUAACUGAAUCCAUAGGUUAAUGAGGCGAACCGGGGGAACUGAAACAUCUAAGUACCCCGAGGAAAAGAAAUCAACCGAGAUUCCCCCAGUAGCGGCGAGCGAACGGGGAGCAGCCCAGAGCCUGAAUCAGUGUGUGUGUUAGUGGAAGCGUCUGGAAAGGCGCGCGAUACAGGGUGACAGCCCCGUACACAAAAAUGCACAUGCUGUGAGCUCGAUGAGUAGGGCGGGACACGUGGUAUCCUGUCUGAAUAUGGGGGGACCAUCCUCCAAGGCUAAAUACUCCUGACUGACCGAUAGUGAACCAGUACCGUGAGGGAAAGGCGAAAAGAACCCCGGCGAGGGGAGUGAAAAAGAACCUGAAACCGUGUACGUACAAGCAGUGGGAGCACGCUUAGGCGUGUGACUGCGUACCUUUUGUAUAAUGGGUCAGCGACUUAUAUUCUGUAGCAAGGUUAACCGAAUAGGGGAGCCGAAGGGAAACCGAGUCUUAACUGGGCGUUAAGUUGCAGGGUAUAGACCCGAAACCCGGUGAUCUAGCCAUGGGCAGGUUGAAGGUUGGGUAACACUAACUGGAGGACCGAACCGACUAAUGUUGAAAAAUUAGCGGAUGACUUGUGGCUGGGGGGGAAAGGCCAAUCAAACCGGGAGAUAGCUGGUUCUCCCCGAAAGCUAUUUAGGUAGCGCCUCGUGAAUUCAUCUCCGGGGGUAGAGCACUGUUUCGGCAAGGGGGUCAUCCCGACUUACCAACCCGAUGCAAACUGCGAAUACCGGAGAAUGUUAUCACGGGAGACACACGGCGGGUGCUAACGUCCGUCGUGAAGAGGGAAACAACCCAGACCGCCAGCUAAGGUCCCAAAGUCAUGGUUAAGUGGGAAACGAUGUGGGAAGGCCCAGACAGCCAGGAUGUUGGCUUAGAAGCAGCCAUCAUUUAAAGAAAGCGUAAUAGCUCACUGGUCGAGUCGGCCUGCGCGGAAGAUGUAACGGGGCUAAACCAUGCACCGAAGCUGCGGCAGCGACGCUGAUGCGUUGUUGGGUAGGGGAGCGUUCUGUAAGCCUGCGAAGGUGUGCUGUGAGGCAUGCUGGAGGUAUCAGAAGUGCGAAUGCUGACAUAAGUAACGAUAAAGCGGGUGAAAAGCCCGCUCGCCGGAAGACCAAGGGUUCCUGUCCAACGUUAAUCGGGGCAGGGUGAGUCGACCCCUAAGGCGAGGCCGAAAGGCGUAGUCGAUGGGAAACAGGUUAAUAUUCCUGUACUUGGUGUUACUGCGAAGGGGGGACGGAGAAGGCUAUGUUGGCCGGGCGACGGUUGUCCCGGUUUAAGCGUGUAGGCUGGUUUUCCAGGCAAAUCCGGAAAAUCAAGGCUGAGGCGUGAUGACGAGGCACUACGGUGCUGAAGCAACAAAUGCCCUGCUUCCAGGAAAAGCCUCUAAGCAUCAGGUAACAUCAAAUCGUACCCCAAACCGACACAGGUGGUCAGGUAGAGAAUACCAAGGCGCUUGAGAGAACUCGGGUGAAGGAACUAGGCAAAAUGGUGCCGUAACUUCGGGAGAAGGCACGCUGAUAUGUAGGUGAAGUCCCUUGCGGAUGGAGCUGAAAUCAGUCGAAGAUACCAGCUGGCUGCAACUGUUUAUUAAAAACACAGCACUGUGCAAACACGAAAGUGGACGUAUACGGUGUGACGCCUGCCCGGUGCCGGAAGGUUAAUUGAUGGGGUUAGCGCAAGCGAAGCUCUUGAUCGAAGCCCCGGUAAACGGCGGCCGUAACUAUAACGGUCCUAAGGUAGCGAAAUUCCUUGUCGGGUAAGUUCCGACCUGCACGAAUGGCGUAAUGAUGGCCAGGCUGUCUCCACCCGAGACUCAGUGAAAUUGAACUCGCUGUGAAGAUGCAGUGUACCCGCGGCAAGACGGAAAGACCCCGUGAACCUUUACUAUAGCUUGACACUGAACAUUGAGCCUUGAUGUGUAGGAUAGGUGGGAGGCUUUGAAGUGUGGACGCCAGUCUGCAUGGAGCCGACCUUGAAAUACCACCCUUUAAUGUUUGAUGUUCUAACGUUGACCCGUAAUCCGGGUUGCGGACAGUGUCUGGUGGGUAGUUUGACUGGGGCGGUCUCCUCCUAAAGAGUAACGGAGGAGCACGAAGGUUGGCUAAUCCUGGUCGGACAUCAGGAGGUUAGUGCAAUGGCAUAAGCCAGCUUGACUGCGAGCGUGACGGCGCGAGCAGGUGCGAAAGCAGGUCAUAGUGAUCCGGUGGUUCUGAAUGGAAGGGCCAUCGCUCAACGGAUAAAAGGUACUCCGGGGAUAACAGGCUGAUACCGCCCAAGAGUUCAUAUCGACGGCGGUGUUUGGCACCUCGAUGUCGGCUCAUCACAUCCUGGGGCUGAAGUAGGUCCCAAGGGUAUGGCUGUUCGCCAUUUAAAGUGGUACGCGAGCUGGGUUUAGAACGUCGUGAGACAGUUCGGUCCCUAUCUGCCGUGGGCGCUGGAGAACUGAGGGGGGCUGCUCCUAGUACGAGAGGACCGGAGUGGACGCAUCACUGGUGUUCGGGUUGUCAUGCCAAUGGCACUGCCCGGUAGCUAAAUGCGGAAGAGAUAAGUGCUGAAAGCAUCUAAGCACGAAACUUGCCCCGAGAUGAGUUCUCCCUGACUCCUUGAGAGUCCUGAAGGAACGUUGAAGACGACGACGUUGAUAGGCCGGGUGUGUAAGCGCAGCGAUGCGUUGAGCUAACCGGUACUAAUGAACCGUGAGGCUUAACCUU
rnacentral:rRNA from 1 species